rnacentral:rRNA from 1 species
UACAGAGGGUGCGAGCGUUGUCCGGAAUCACUGGGCGUAAAGGGCGCGUAGGUGGCCUGGUAAGUAGGGGGUGAAAUCCCCAGGCUCAACUUGGGAACUGCGUCCGAUACUGGAUGGCUUGAAUUCGGGAGAGGGAUGCAGAAUUCCAGGUGUAGCGGUGAAAUGCGUAGAUAUCUGGAGGAAUACCGGUGGCGAAGGCGGCAUCCUGGACCGAGAUUGACACUGAAAAGCGAAAGCCAGGGGAGCAAACGGG